UUGAGCCGUAUGCGGGGAAACUCGCACGUACGGUUCUUAGGGGGCGCUCUUCCGAAAGGAAGGGGGCUACUACAACCCCGC
rfam:Candidatus Burkholderia humilis strain TZHbot5 BHTMctg8, whole genome shotgun sequence.